rnacentral:sRNA from 1 species
UGUUGCCUCUGAAUUUUUUUCAUUAUUAUUUUGUUGUUGUGAAAGCAUUAUAUGGCUUGAUUCAAGAUUCACGACCAUUCAUGUGAUGCUAUUGUAAUGAUUUCUUAAAGUAUGAGUUCUUUGAUAUUUAGGAAUUUUUUUAUAGAUGUACUUGUAGUUCUUGAUAGAUGAUGGAGCACUUUGCCUCCAUUACAUUUUCCUACCAUGUCAACAUCAAUCUUUCCUUUAUUACAAGAAUUGCUACACGAAAUUUAUUUACCGUUUUUCUUUUGCAUUUAGUUUUUUGUUGGGUUUCUGUGCUUUUGAUCGACUGAGUGGAUUCCACAAUUUAGGUUACAAAUUUUGAGUAUGUUGUUAAGGCUGAAGCUGCAACAGAGGAGGUUGUAGGAGUUUAGUGUCAUGGGAAAAGGGAAGCGUAACCAAAAGCUGGUAAACCAAUGCUGAAUUGGGGCACUAGGAAGCACAUUUCUUUGGGAGCAACAAGAGGACUAUUGUACCUUCAUGAGCAAUUUCCAUAGUGAGGGACACAAGACAACACAUUGCUUUGGGAGCAACAAGAGGACUAUUGUACCUUCAUGAGCAAUUUCCACAGUGAGGGGCACAAUGGGGCAUAUUAUUUGAAUAUUGUUGUCUAGUAAGAAAGGAUAUCAAGAAUGAAUCCUUAAUGUUACUAACCUUGAAUGGGAUAAGAAGAAUUAUGUGAGACAUCAUUUGAUUAUUAUCUAUGAUUACAAAAUGGAUAUGUAAAUGGUUCACAGUCUUGGUCAUAUGGUUUAG